CCCAUCGCGUUUCCGGCACCAAAUCUCUCCCUUUUCAGCCCGCCUCUAUUUACCCAAUCCCACUUCCGGUCUCCAAUCAGCCAUUUUCCAACCCCUCUUAUUUACAGCGUUCAACAUCCGGUGUCAGAUCAACUUCCGGCCCCCCUUUUUUUUUUUUUUUUUAAUUAAACCCACCGCGCUUCCGCUGUCAAAUGAGUUCAGCUCCUGCCCCUUCUUUCAACCCGACGGCACUUCCGGCCACUCGCGUUCCCCAGGCCCCCACUUCCGGCGUUCGAUGACGCAACAUCCGGUCUCCCCUCUCCCACUCGUUCCGGUCUCUCAUCCCACUUCCGGCGCCAAAUAACGCCCUUUACUUUUACCGCUUCGAACUCGCGGCCCUCACUUCCGGCGCCAAAUUUUGCCUCAUCCGGUUCCGGCACUUCUGGUGCAGCCUCAGCUCUGCAUCACCCCCCCCCUUUUUUUAAUUUUUAACCCAAUUUUUCUCCUUUUUUUUUCUUUUUUUGACCCAAUUUCGCCUUUUUUUCCCCUCCCCCCAAAUUUCGCAUUUUUCCUCUCCGAUUCCACCCGCGAUUUCCUCCUUUUCUCCCCUCCAAUCCCUCAUUUUCCUUCAUUUUUUUCCCCAUCCCCAACCGCACGCACACACCCGGAAGUCCCCCUCCGCUUACUUCCGGCCCUGACCGGAAGCAGCCUCUCGAAGGGGCGGGCUUUGCCAGCUCCUACCGGAAGCGGGGUUGUUUACGCCCCAUAGAAAGCCGUUCUUUCGGUCGACCCUACAAAAAAUCCCUUUUUUUCACCCCAUUUCCGCCCCGGAAAACGAAAAAAAAUCCCAUUAUUUCCUUGCGGGACCCACAGAAACGGGGCUCCGUUUCCAACGGCGGCCCCACGGGUUUCUGUCGGCCCUACGGAAAUGAUGGCGGCUGCUGCUUGGUUUCCAUUCGCAGCACCUUUUAUUCCUGUGGGGCGGAGUGUGGGGCGGCCCCACCGGCCCCGCUGUGGGGCGCGCGGGUCACUUGUGGGGCAGGGAGGCACUUGUGGGGCUGAGGGGUCACUUAUGGUGCAGACGGGUCACUUGUGGGGCAGGGAGGCACUUGUGGGGCAGAGGGGUCACUUAUGGGGCAAAGGAGGGCACUUAUGGGGCAGGGAGGCACUUGUGGGGCAGGGAGGCACUUGUGGGGCAAGGGAGGGCACUUAUGGGGCAGAGGGGUCACUUGUGGG
rnacentral:lncRNA from 1 species